AGAGUUUGAUCAUGGCUCAGAAUCAACGCUGGCGGCGUGCCUAACACAUGCAAGUCGAACGCGAAAGUGGAGCAAUCCAUGAGUAGAGUGGCAAACGGGUGAGUAACGCGUGGGUGACCUGCCUUCGAGCGGGGGAUAACGUUUCGAAAGGAACGCUAAUACCGCAUGACAUCCUGCCUUUGAAGAGGUGGAGAUCAAAGCUGGGGAUCGCAAGACCUAGCACUUGAAGAGGGGCCCGCGUCUGAUUAGCUAGUUGGUGAGGUAACGGCUCACCAAGGCGACGAUCAGUAUCCGGCCUGAGAGGGCGGACGGACACACUGGGACUGAGACACGGCCCAGACUCCUACGGGAGGCAGCAGUGGGGAAUUGUUCGCAAUGGGCGCAAGCCUGACGACGCAACGCCGCGUGGAGGAUGAAGACCUUCGGGUCGUAAACUCCUUUCGAUCGAGACGAAAGACUUCCGGGUGAACAAUCCGGGAGAGUGACGGUACCGAGAGAAGAAGCCCCGGCUAACUCCGUGCCAGCAGCCGCGGUAAUACGGGGGGGGCAAGCGUUGUUCGGAAUUACUGGGCGUAAAGGGCUCGUAGGCGGCCAACUAAGUCGGACGUGAAAUCCCUCGGCUUAACCGGGGAACUGCGUCCGAUACUGGAUGGCUUGAGGUUGGGAGAGGGAUGCGGAAUUCCAGGUGUAGCGGUGAAAUGCGUAGAUAUCUGGAGGAACACCGGUGGCGAAGGCGGCAUCCUGGACCAAUUCUGACGCUGAGUGAGCGAAAGCCAGGGGAGCAAACGGGAUUAGAUACCCUAGUAGUCC
rnacentral:rRNA from 1 species